rnacentral:sRNA from 1 species
AAAGAGGAUGAGAACCUCCGAAGGAGGUUUGAGCCGAGCGAAGCGAGACAACGUUGCUUUAGCAACGGCCCGCAGGGCAAGCAUCGCAGAUGCGCGUCAUCCUCUCUCGCCGAC